rnacentral:tRNA from 1 species
GUUAGGGUGGCAGAGCCCGGUAAUUGCAAGAGGCCUAAGCCCUCUAGACAGGGGCUCAACUCCCCUCCCUAAUU